CUAGGCACGUGCAGAAUUAAGCUACUGCCUGCUGCAGUUAAUGCUGUUAGAGUACUUUGAUCUGAAGUGCCUGCCAAGGUUAGUGUGCUUUCCAUGUUCUUUGUUGCUGGUUUUAUUUUGUCCUUAAGUAGACAUUUGAUACCUUUCAGUUUGAGAAAACAGCAUGAAGUACCUCCGUAUUCUUAUCCCACUGGAGAUUGGUGUCUAAGCCAGCAUUUCUUUGUGGAUGGGAAAAGGGAAGUACUUUGUCACGCUGGCUUCUGAAAACGUGGCUUGGCAAUUGCUGUGCAGUUCUUAGUAGUCUUGCACUGUCUGUGCCAUAGUCCUGCAGAGAGGUGGCUUAUACAGUGCCAUUAAGAUGAAGGCAAAUGCCUUGAUUUUCAUUCUUCUGCUUGUCUCUGCAUAUGUAACAGCAUUCAAGAAAAUGGCUGUCAUGUCGUCUGAACAGCUCAGAGCACCUGGGCAGCUCUUCCCGUUUCCAUGUUACUUCAGACUGUCCUGAGGUCACGUUCCUACUUUUUUCUUUUCUGCUCACUCUCACUAAAAAACCCCAGCAAACAGCUCUACCUCCUGUAGUCAAUUAUUCCUUAGGAAGAAGCCCUUCUGUGCUUUCUCUUGCUGGUCUCUUUACUCUGUCUGCCACGGAACUGAUGCUUUAAGAUGUGCUGUAGUAUAAUUCUGUAAUCUUCUUCUAUGGAUAGAAUUUGUUUUGGAAAUGUGGUUACUUUACGUUGGAAAUAAUUUUUGUAUGUGACAUUAAUUUGCUCGGACUAGAAAUCACAGCUAUUUUUACUGAGAUGCAAUUAUUUUCUUCUGAUCUCUGUUCCAUUUCAUCUCAGCACACGCAGCAUAGUUUACUCAGCCAGGCUGGUUGUACUUGUGAGUGGACGGACGCUUAAAGGAGGUGGAAGCUCUGCAGCCAUGACAGAUGGCCCAGGAAACCUUACUGUCAUCAAAGCUGUGGUAAUGUACAUCAACAGAAGGGGAAUAGACAAAGGAAAUGUGCUGUUACAAAGAGCCAGCUUUGGUUUAUGCCGUAUCUGACCGGAGGGGGAGCUUUUCUUCACACCUUGCUGUGUAUGAAAUCUACACUCAAACUGCACUCGAUGGGCAGAAAUGUAGCUGAGCAGAGCCUCCAGCAGCUCAGGCCUUUCCUUCAAACUGUGAAGAUGGCGUUAAUAUUCGUAAGUCAUAAAUCUCGUAUCAAAACUUAAUUCUGAUAUGGACAUACCUCGCUGUGGGAGACGUGGCAGGUGUGGUCUUUGAGUCACCACAGGUGUGGGACACGUGAAGUAAUCUGGACGUGUUUCAAUUUCUGUGUAUUUUUCCCCGUUUCUCUGAUCAUUUCUCUGUAUUGCUGCAUCUGGCGGGGAUUGCUGUCCUGGCCCAGAGCUCUGUUCCCUCAUGGGCUGCACUCGUUUUGCUGUCCCACCAUUUGGGUUGCACAGGCCAUCCACGUCCAGUGUUCCCAUCCUCCUGGGCCUCCACACACAUGGCAGUUAGCAAGAAGGAGCAAAGUUGUUCAACCUUGUCCUAAAGUUAUCAAUCUGUUCAUCCAACCUGUGCCUUGGUCACAGUGGCAGCGUGCCGUUAGCAAUGCCAUCACUGCUCUCAGGUCACCAGCUCUGACAGGAGGCACUGGGGAUAAUUUCAGGUGAGGCCGUUCUUCAUAUCCAGGCACACAGAUGGUAUCUUUUUCCAAAUGGACCGUGCUGGUAGGCGGGUAAAUCCAGUCGUGCAGGAUCUGCAAAAUAAAAUUACGUACUACGUACGUAGUUCUCCAGAGCGGUGGUGAUCUGAGGUGGAUCUCCUUUUCUCACAACUGUUUUUAAAACUGGCAAUAUCAGUAAUUGUUCUGUCAUGGGUUGAAUAAUUAAAUCUUGUUCACCAUUGCUGAACAGAAUUUGAUUUAUCCUUAAUAAUCUGCAUCCAUUACUCCUCUCAUGACGUGAGUUUUCUUCCUCCAAAACCCAAGGGAACCUUUUUCUUUCCCUGUUUUUGCCAGAAGCUCCAAUUGGCACGUGCCCCAUUUGCAGACACGUUUAACUCUGUUUCUGCUUUUUGCAUGGGCCCUAAGUCUGAGGCCCUUUGAAGAGCCUUUGUUGCUAAUUCAAAGGCAACCUGCUGUUCGUUUCCCUCUCCAACUCUUCCUUGUCACUUUGUAUAUAUAUGGGGUUAAAAUUUGUCCUAGGUAUGGAACAUAAAAAACCAAACAGCCCAAUACACUGCUGUGCCUCAUUCAUAUUUUAGGGUACUGCAAAGUCUAGAAUGUUGUGUCGGGUUUUGGGUAGUAUUCCCCAAUGCCCCAAAUGCCUCUGAGUUCCUAAAAAUGUCACUGUUUGAAUUUCAGUAGGAUGAAUUUCCCAGCCUUUCUGUUUCAUCUGAUCCACAACCAAUUCCAGCAUUUGUUGCACCUCUUCCUCAGUUUCCCUGAGUCAGGACGUCAUCUACGUAAUGAACUGUUUGCAUGUGAGGAGGCAGUUUGGUGUCAUGCAGAUGUUCAGCCACAGUUCUGUGGCAGAUGGUUGGGCUGUGCAGCCGUCCCUGAGGCCAUCUACAGACAGGAUCUUGUCACCUCUGCCAUGGGAAGGCGUUCCUCCGCAGUCGGGAUCGUGAAGAAGCUAGUGUUAGCUAAAUCAAUUACAGCAUGCCCUGCUCUGGAAUGGUUCUGAGCUUCUGCUGUUAAAGCAACACUACCUGCUGCAGCUGCUGUGAGAGGCGGGGUGAGCUUGUUUAAUUCCUCCCAAACCCACCGCUAUUUGACAGGCCAUGUUGGAUUGUUCCGAGCUGUAGUAGUUGACUUCAAAACUCCUGCACCCAUUAAAUCAUUAAUUGUCCUUGAUAUCUCUUCAUGCUCCCCCUCCCCCCAGGUCCUGUACUGUUUCAUUGUCACUACUUCAGUUGCAGCAGGAAUCUGCACAGCAGGCAUUGUUACUUUUCCCACUGAAAUUGUUGGAGCACGAAUGCAAUUCCUUAUUCCAAAUUGGGGCUGAGCGCUGGGGAGAUUCAGUGUUAGUCAUUUUAGAAUGCCCAUCCCUGUGAUGUAUUCUGGGGUGGGGACAGUCAUCACAGGAUGCAGUCGUUGUGGGAGGUUUCCUAUUCUCAUUUCUAUUUGUGUUUGUACAGCUUCAGGUUGUUUCCCUCCCAACCCUAUAAUAAUUACCAGAUGUCCUUCAUGUUUCUUGAGGUUCCCAUAUGUUAAGGAGGCCUCUGCUCCGGGGUCAUUUAGGGCUCUUACAGUUUGCGAGGAUCCAUUUUUCCAAAAUAUUUGGAGCUCCCUCAGAGCAGCUGAUCCUCUCGCGUUGGGCCCUGUGAGCAGAUGAGAGUCCCAUUGAGGCGCUCAAGGGAGUGCAGCAGCUGGAAUUGUUCCUGGGUCUUUUGCUUUAGAAUUUGGCACUUUCUUGCUAGGUUUCUUAACCCCUCUCUGUUUAUGUAUCCUCUGUAAUUCAGGAGUUGGAAAACCAUCCAUCUUAUUGUGAGGCAUCCUGUCUUGUAAUAAAGCUGUAAACACUUCUUUUCAAGAAA